GACGAACGCUGGCGGCGUGCUUAACACAUGCAAGUCGAGCGGUAAGGCCCUUUCGGGGGUACACGAGCGGCGAACGGGUGAGUAACACGUGGGUGACCUGCCCUCAGCUCUGGGAUAAGCCUGGGAAACCGGGUCUAAUACUGGAUAUGACUCCAUGACGCAUGUUGUGGGGUGGAAAGCCUUGUGCGGCUGAGGAUGGGCCCGCGGCCUAUCAGCUUGUUGGUGGGGUGAUGGCCUACCAAGGCGACGACGGGUAGCCGGCCUGAGAGGGCGACCGGCCACACUGGGACUGAGACACGGCCCAGACUCCUACGGGAGGCAGCAGUGGGGAAUCUUGCGCAAUGGGCGAAAGCCUGACGCAGCGACGCCGCGUGAGGGAUGACGGCCUGGUGUAACU
rnacentral:rRNA from 1 species